GACGGAGGAUGCAAGCGUUAAUCGGAUUUACUGGGCGUAAAGCGCACGUAGGCGGAUCGUUAAGUCGGGGGUGAAAUCCUGGAGCUCAACUCCAGAACUGCCUUCGAUACUGGCGAUCUUGAGUCCGGAAGAGGUGAGUGGAACUCCUAGUGUAGAGGUGGAAUUCGUAGAUAUUAGGAAGAACACCAGUGGCGAAGGCGGCUCACUGGUCCGGUACUGACGCUGAGGUGCGAAAGCGUGGGGAGCGAACAGG
rnacentral:rRNA from 1 species